rnacentral:rRNA from 1 species
AGCAGCCGCGGUAAUUCCAGCCCCAAUAGCGUAUAUUAAAGUUGUUGCAGUUAAAAAGCUCGUAGUUGAAUUUCGGGAUCGACGGGUCGGUCGCGCCUCCGGUGUGUACUGGCCCUGUCGGUUUCUCCCUUCUGACGAACUGCGAUGUCAUUAAUUUGGUGUCGUAGGGAAUCAGGACUGUUACUUUGAAAAAUUAGAGUGUUUAAAGCAGGCACACGCUUGAAUACAUUAGCAUGGAAUAAUGAAAUAGGACGUUUUGAUCUUAUUUUGUUGGUUUCUAAGAUCGACGUAAUGAUUAAUAGGGAUAGUUGGGGCAUUAGUAUUCAAUUGUCAGAGGUGAAAUUCUUGGAUUUAUUGAAGACUAACUACUGCGAAAGCAUUUUGCCAAGGAUGUUUUCAUUAAUCAAGAACGAAAGUUAGGGGAUCGAAGACGAUCAGAUACCGUCGUAG